rnacentral:sRNA from 1 species
AUGGCUGUCGUCAGCUCGUGUCGUGAGAUGUUGGGUUAAGUCCCGCAACGAGCGCAACCCCCGUCCUUAGUUGCUACCAUUUAGUUGAGCACUCUAAGGAGACUGCCGGUGAUAAGCCGCGAGGAAGGUGGGGAUGACGUCAAGUCCUCAUGGCCCUUACGUCCUGGGCUACACCCACGCUACAAUGGCCGGUACAACGGGCGGCGAAACCGCGAGGUGGAGCAAAUCCCUUAAAGCCGGUCUCAGUUCGGAUUGUAGGCUGCAACUCGCCUGCAUGAAGCCGGAGUUGCUAGUAACCGCCGGUCAGCAUACGGCGGUGAAUAUGUUCCCGGGCCUUGUACACACCGCCCGUCACGUCAUGAAAGUCGGCAACACCCGAAGCCGGUGGGCCAACCGCAAGGAGGCAGCCGUCGAAGGUGGGGUCGGUGAUUGGGACGAAGUCGUAACAAGGUAGCCGUACCGGAAGGUGCGGCUGGAUCACCUCCUUUCUAGGGAGUUCCAGUCGAGGUCCAUCGGUGUGAUCUCGGCGCUAAACGGCUCCCAGGUUGAUCGUCUGCGAUCGAUACUGCGCUCCCGCCAGGUGGGAGCAGCGUCGGCUAAAGUCGAGUUUCUCGACUCCGAGCCGGCGAGAUCGAUAGACGACCUGGCAAAGCACCGAUACUGCUCGUGUUCGAGCUGGACUUCCUGUCACUCUUCAAGGGUUAGGGUGCACCGCGUGGCGACCGACCGUCGACGAGCGUCGGCACCGCCAGGCGGGCGAUUAGCUCAGCUGGUUAGAGCGCUGCCCUGAUAAGGCAGAGGUCACUGGUUCGAGUCCAGUAUCGCCCACCACUUCCUUGCCGCCUGGGGACGUAGCUCAGUUGGCAGAGCAUCUCCUUUGCAAGGAGAGGGUCAGGAGUUCGAGUCUCCUCGUCUCCACUACGCUGGAAAGGCGUGGAGGUAAGAACGCUGGCCAGGAGCACCUGAGAACAAAAUGAAUAGCGGGGCGCAAAGCCCCAAGCGAGCGCAAGUGCUGUGCGAACGGCGGCUCGGCCAGAUCGAGUCGUCAUUUUGCGUCUGUAGCACCAUCGUUCCUCUGAUCCGUGAGCAUUGACUCACCGACCAGCGGACCGCUGGAGAGGCGGGACCCGCAAGGUCCUGUCGAGGCCGAAGAGGCCGAACCUUAACAACUGGAUAGUGUUUCGGCAGAUUGAUGAUCUUCAAUUUCGCCGAGUUGUGUGCAAGGUGUAUCCCGGGCCCCGAGCCAACCUUCGGUUGGCUUUCGGAGAAAGCCCAAGGCUUUCUCCGGGAGUGACGGAUAGGUCGGACUCGGGCGGACCAAUCUCAUGGUCCGCACGCACGGCAACAAACCGCUUGGUGAGUUGCUGUGGUGGUCAAGCUACAAAGGGCACUAGGUGGAUGCCUUGGCGCCAAGAGCCGAUGAAGGACGUGGCAGGCUGCGAAAAGCUUCGGGGAGUCGCGAGCAGACUUUGAUCCGGAGAUGUCCGAAUGGGGAAACCCGG